rnacentral:rRNA from 1 species
GACGAACGCUGGCGGCGUGCUUAACACAUGCAAGUCGAACGGAAAGGCCCUGCUUUUGUGGGGUGCUCGAGUGGCGAACGGGUGAGUAACAAGUGAGUAACCUGCCCUUGAUUUUGGGAUAACUUCAGGAAACUGGGGCUAAUACCGGAUAGGAGCUCCUGCUGCAUGGUGGGGGUUGGAAAGUUUCGGCGGUUGGGGAUGGACUCGCGGCUUAUCAGCUUGUUGGUGGGGUAGUGGCUUACCACGGCUUUGACGGGUAGCCGGCCUGAGAGGGUGACCGGCCACAUUGGGACUGAGAUACGGCCCAGACUCCUACGGGAGGCAGCAGUGGGGAAUAUUGCAUAAUGGGCGGAAGCCUGAUGCAGCAACGCCGCGUGCGGGAUGACGGCCUUCGGGUUGUAAACCGCUUUCGCCUGUGACGAAGCGUGAGUGACGGUAAUGGGUAAAGAAGCACCGGCUAACUACGUG